UACGUAGGUGGCAAGCGUUAUCCGGAAUUAUUGGGCGUAAAGCGCGCGCAGGUGGUUUCUUAAGUCUGAUGUGAAAGCCCACGGCUCAACCGUGGAGGGUCAUUGGAAACUGGGAGACUUGAGUGCAGAAGAGGAAAGUGGAAUUCCAUGUGUAGCGGUGAAAUGCGUAGAUAUCUGGAGGAACACCGGUGGCGAAGGCGGCAUCCUGGACCGGCAUUGACGCUGAGGCGCGAAAGCUAGGGGAGCAAACGGG
rnacentral:rRNA from 1 species